CCUACGGGUGACAGCAGUGAGGAAUAUUGGUCAAUGGGCGCGAGCCUGAACCAGCCAAGUAGCGUGAAGGAUGACUGCUCUACGGGUUGUAAACCUCUUUUAUAAAGGAAUAAAGUGAGGCACGUGUGCCUUUAUGUCUGUCUUUUAUGAAUAAGGAUCGGGUAACUCCGUGCCAGCAGCCGCGGUAAUACGGAGGAUCCGAGCGUUAUCCGGAUUUAUUGGGUUUAAAGGGAGCGUAGAUGGGUUGUUAAGUCAGUUGUGAAAGUUUGCGGCUCAACCGUAAAAUUGCAAUUGAUACUGGCAGUCUUGAGUACAGGUGAGGUAGGCGGAAUUCGUGGUGUAGCGGUGAAAUGCUUAGAUAUCACGAAGAACUCCGAUUGCGAAGGCAGCUUACUAAACUGCCACUGACAUUGAUGCUCGAAAGUGUGGGUAUCAAACAGGAUUAGAUACCCCGGUAGUC
rnacentral:rRNA from 1 species